UACGUAGGGCGCAAGCGUUGUCCGGAAUUAUUGGGCGUAAAGAGCUCGUAGGCGGUCUGUCGCGUCGGAUGUGAAAAUCCAGGGCUCAACCCUGGACCUGCAUUCGAUACGGGCAGACUAGAGUUCGGUAGGGGAGACUGGAAUUCCUGGUGUAGCGGUGAAAUGCGCAGAUAUCAGGAGGAACACCGGUGGCGAAGGCGGGUCUCUGGGCCUUACCUGACGCUCAGGCGCGAAAGCUAGGGGAGCGAACAGG
rnacentral:rRNA from 1 species